rnacentral:rRNA from 1 species
CGGAGGGUGCGGAGCGUUGUCCGGAAUCACGUGGGCGUAAAGGGCGCGUAGGUGGCGGCCCAAGUCAACGGUGAAAGCGUCGGCGCCCAACGCCGAGUCGGCCGUCGAUACUGGGUUGCUUGAGCACUGUAGGGGCCAAUGGAAUUCCGGGUGUAGCGGUGGAAUGCGUAGAGAUCCGGAAGAACACCGGUGGCGAAGGCGGUUGGCUGGGCAGGUGCUGACACUGAGGCGCGACAGCGUGGGGAGCAAACAGGAUUAGAUACCCUGGUAGUCCACGCCGUAAACGAUGGGCACUAGGUGCUUGGGGGAGCGACCCUCUGAGUGCCGACGCUAACGCAUUAAGUGCCCCGCCUGGGGAGUACGGCCGCAAGGCUG